rnacentral:piRNA from 1 species
UGUGAAAGUCGUAUGCCCAGCAUAGAGGUGU